rnacentral:sRNA from 1 species
GUGCUUCCAACUCCACUCUGGGAAUGGAGAGCUUCUGGGGCUGUGUUCCAAGUGGGAGAUUUCUUCACAAGGCACAUACCUUAGCUGAAUUCAGAGAUGUUAAGAACACAUCUCGCUGACGCUUCUCACAUCCUAGACAAUGAAAGUUUAGGUCGCAAGCCUGGGACACAAGUAUACAUGCAGCUAACAGCCGGGGCCUCUGGUGGGCCGGUGGGAGGGGCACCGCUCAGCCACGCCCUGCUGUCCGUCUCCCCAGACCCUGGACGCGUUUGCCGCAAUGGCCUGCACGGAGAUGCUGACAAGAAACACCCUGAAGCCCAGUCCCCAGGCGUGGCUACAGUUGGUGAAGAAUCUUUCCAUGCCGCUGGAGCUCAUCUGCUCCGAUGAGCACGUGCAAGGCAGCGGGAGCCUGGCCCAGGCUGUCAUCAGGGAAGUCAGAGCCCAGUGGAGUCGGAUUUUCUCCACCGCACUCUUUGUGGAGCACGUGCUCCUAGGAACCGAGAGCCAUGUCCCCGAGUUACAGGGG